rnacentral:rRNA from 1 species
CCAAAGAUCUGUCCGCAGAUCACGGGACUGUAGGGAGACCCGCUGGCGCGAAGUCAGAGGGAAGGCGAGGCCAACGGUAGNUCAGUAUGCUCCGAAUGCUAUGGGCUACACGCGCAAUACAAAGGACGGGACAAUGGGCUGCAANUCCGAGAGGAAUGACGCUAUCCCGAAACCCCGUUCGUAGUUCGGAUUGAGGGCUGUAACUCGCCCUCAUGAAGCUGGAUUAGGUAGUAAUCGCGUCUCAAAAAGGCGCGGUGAAUAUGCCCCUGCUCCUUGCACACACCGCCCGUCAAACCAUCUUAGUUGUGGGUGGGUGAGGCUGCCUCUCUUUCGAGAUGUGGUAUUCGAGCCUGCCUUCGACAAGGAGGGUUAAGUCGUAACAAGGUA